rnacentral:rRNA from 1 species
UACGGGGGGGGCAAGCGUUGUUCGGAAUUACUGGGCGUAAAGGGCUCGUAGGCGGCCAACUAAGUCAGACGUGAAAUCCCUCGGCUUAACCGGGGAACUGCAUCUGAUACUGGAUGGCUUGAGUUCGGGAGAGGGAUGCGGAAUUCCAGGUGUAGCGGUGAAAUGCGUAGAUAUCUGGAGGAACACCGGUGGCGAAAGGCGGCAUCCUGGACCGAACACGUGACGCUGAGGAGCGAAAGC